GACGAACGCUGGCGGCGUGCUUAACACAUGCAAGUCGAGCGGUAAGGCCCUUUCGGGGGUACACGAGCGGUGAACGGGUGAGUAACACGUGGGUGACCUGCCCUCAGCUCUGGGAUAAGCCUGGGAAACCGGGUCUAAUACUGGAUAUGACUCCAUGACGCAUGUUGUGGGGUGGAAAGCCUUGUGCGGCUGAGGAUGGGCCCGCGGCCUAUCAGCUUGUUGGUGGGGUGANGGCCUACCAAGGCGACGACGGGUAGCCGGCCUGAGAGGGCGACCGGCCACACUGGGACUGAGACACGGCCCAGACUCCUACGGGAGGCAGCAGUGGGGAAUCUUGCGCAAUGGGCGAAAGCCUGACGCAGCGACGCCGCGUGAGGGAUGACGGCCUCGG
rnacentral:rRNA from 1 species